rnacentral:lncRNA from 1 species
UGCCCUUCAUCACUCAGCAGUGAAGAAUGAAAAUCAACAGAGCUUUCCCCAGCCUGCUGCUUAAGCAGCUGCUAGCAGGCUGAGGCUGCCCAGCCUCAUUAACCCAUUAGAUGCUGCGUUCGCCCGGGAGUCAUUCUUAAUGAGGCUGCUGCAGAUGAGAAAACAGAAGCAAAGGCAGAAAGAUGCUACAUUGCCAGCUUUGAAGAUGGAGGGAAGAGGUCACAAACCAAGGAAGGUGAGUGGUGCCUAGAAGUUGGAAAAGACAUGGAAACACAUUCUUCUGUAAAGCACUUAGAAAGAAAUAC